CUACUGCUUUUUCUCUAUCUGUCGUCGGGAACAGUCCCCAACCACCUCACCGUGUGGACCCAUCCAGAUGCCUUUCCGCGUGGAGACCUUAGCGGGAUCCAACGACGCCUCCUCGAGCGAGCAAUCCUCUCUUCCGCUUAAGGAGCUGCCCUGAUAAAAAUCAGAGAACAAUGGCCAUUGUGCCGAGAAAUGAGCAGCUCGGACACUAUGGUCGAGAUAGGUUCUUGCUUUGGUGAUUGUGAUCCUAUUCAAUAUGAAAUGCUUAUCUUAACAUCACUCAACAAACUGGCACCUGUUACUACUCUCUAUUAUCGGCUUUCAUUUUGAAUGUCACUGAAAUUGUCUUGGUUUGGGGUUGAUGGGUGUUUCUAUUUUCUGAUAACAUUCUGACCCCGCCACACAGUAAAGGCAGCAAAAGAGGAUGUAAAACCUGUCAUUUUUUUCAGAAUUUUAGAAUUUUUCUUCCUCACGUGAACCUGUGAUUCUUUUGUAAAACAAAUCAGAGAAACUUGUCAUUCUAGUUCACACGAAACCUGCCAUUCUUCUUCACAUGAAUAUGUCAAAACAUCCACAUGUAUUUCAUAUAAAAAGAUUACUAGUAUAUAAUAGUUAGUACAUUGUCAGGAAGAACAAUCAGCUCUAAAAUGGUACAAAAUGUGUCAUGAAUCCAGCUCCAAAGUAGAUUCAGUCAUUCAGUUUCUAAUGCAUAAUCAAACUCUGAAUAAUUGUUUGAUCAUAUUUGCAGUCAGUAAUGGGCAGAAUCUUCAGAGUAUCAAACAUUACCUCGGAAAAAAAUCAAAGAACCAAGUGUGAACCGAGAGAAACUCAAGUCUUAACUCAAGCUUCUCCAUCACCACCUUGAAUGGAUCAUUGAACCUCACGAACUCAAGGUGCAGCUUCUUCAGGCAGGGGAGUCAGGCAUCAUUGACACUGGUGAACAGAUGAGACGCAUUACGCAACGCCUUGUAAGCACUACAAUGAUUGACAGCCUGAGAGGCCGUGUUGGAACCAUGAGCAGCAUGUUGGCGGCACCUGUGCACACGGUGGAGGUGGCGCGGAGGACGAGGGGGCACCAGAGGACGAGUUGCGGCGGCAGACAUGGGAGUAUUGGACAGGGGGGACGCGUGCGGAGCUGUGACGGCGGUCGGCGGAUGAUGGGAGCCACCAGCGGACAGCUGCGGUGGUGGUUGAGGAGGACGGAGGCCACGUCGGCAGCGCCGCUGCGGGCUUCCAGUCCAGGACCACUCGUCGGCACGGCGGACGAUGCAAGCGGAGUCGAACUGGCGAAGCAUGCAAGCCGAGAUCGCUUGGAGUUGGAGCCAAGCCGACAACGCGAGCGCGUGCGAUAAGCUAGGAAACGGCACAUCAUCACGAUCUGUUAGAUGCACGGAAGUAACUUUGGGGACGGUCCCCACUGAAUUUUCUUCCUUGUCAUCAAGAGGGCGGAUGAGGAUGAAAAGUUUUGAUGAGCAGUUAAGCAAGACGUCAUUUUUUUAUUCCCAUUUGUUCUUUUUU